GGGGAAUAUUGCGCAAUGGCCGCAAGGCUGACGCAGCGACGCCGCGUGUGGGAGGACGCCUUUCGGGGUGUAAACCACUGUUGCCCGGGACGAACAGCCUUUUUCGAGAGGCCUGACGGUACCGGGUGAGGAAGCACCGGCUAACUCCGUGCCAGCAGCCGCGGUAAUACGGAGGGUGCGAGCGUUGUCCGGAAUCACUGGGCGUAAAGGGCGCGUAGGCGGCUCGCGAAGCGUGCGGUGAAAGCCCGGGGCUCAACCCCGGGUCGGCCGUGCGAACUGGCGAGCUGGAGCACAGUAGAGGCAGGUAGAAUUCCGGGUGUAGCGGUGGAAUGCGUAGAGAUCCGGAAGAAUACCAGUGGCGAAGGCGGCCUGCUGGGCUGUGGCUGACGCUGAGGCGCGACAGCGUGGGGAGCAAAC
rnacentral:rRNA from 1 species